GCCAGCCUUGAACUUUGACUGCACUUUCUACGCAAGCCAUGCUAACCUCAAACUCAAAAUCCUUCAGUUUUUCACAAGCCUUCUACCUGGACCAGUCCAUGGCCUGGGGUUUGGACAUCUGCUCUGCAUAAACCAGAUCCAGCCUGCCACCCCCAAAAGCAACCCUGGUGGUAGCCUGCCUGGGUGGUGACCUCUUGGGGAAUGCAGUAAAUCCCACCCUGCAGAGCAAGAGCUGAAAUCAAGAGGACUGAGCUAGGAUAACUUAACCCCAAGAUCAUACAGCCAGUGAAUAGCAAAACCAAUACAACCCAUCUCCAGGUAUCCAACCCCCGUUGAGUCAGCCUGAACACAUCACAGUCCUUCCUACAGCUCCACAGCAACACAAGAGUCUGCCAAAUGGGUAAGAAAAUAUGGUGCAUGCACAAAAAAAGAAAAGAGUUCUGCCAUGGAGCAGCCUGAGGUCAUCCUACUAAAUGAAACAAACCAACUACGGAGACAAAUACAGCAAGACUCCACUUAUAUAAGAUACUACUAAACAUCCUAGAGUGCACAGAGUGGCUUAUUCCUGCUCCAACAAAGAAUUUUCCAGCCCAAAACAUCAAGAAUUCUGAGGAUGAGGAAUCUUGUGGUAUUUGAUAGUCAUGCGACGGAGGAAAACAGUCCCAGAUGCACAGUGCAGCUCUAAACAAGGCAUGUGGUCUUAGACAAGCUUCAUCAAGCUUCUCCAAGCUUCAGUUUUAGAAGUGAGAGAUACAGAGAUAACUUGCAAAACCGGGCACUGGAAUUUCAUUAUUCUUCUGAUCUCAAGACAAAAUCACAAAAAGGGGUUACCAUUAUUUCAUGAAUGAAAACACUGCCUGAGUGAAGACUCAGCUACCACCACAGCUACAUACUGCUAAAGGGGGCAUCAUGGUGGACAUCAAGCCCUUGGUUCACAUUAGCUGGGUGUAUUCCUUUACCAUUUCUAUCAGUAGGUGAGUUUAUACAACAUCAACAGUGUCCUUAGCUUUUAGUGAGCACCUAGAGAAGACAUCAAAUAAAAUGAUAAACCCAGAA